AAAGAUCAACAAUUGUCAGUAAAGCAUGAGACUCUUAAUCUCAGGAUUGUGGGUUCAAGCCCCACGUUGGACA